CGAAUCACAAAACCUGCUAAUUUCAGUGCAUUCACAACCUCACAAUUUGGACCAUUUUUCACAUAUACACAAGGAUAUAGGUUGAACAACAUACAACUACAUCGCAGAACA
rnacentral:misc_RNA from 1 species